CAAUGGCGUAACAAAGGGAGGCGAAGCCGCGAGGUGGAGCAAAUCCCAAAAAUAACGUCUCAGUUCGGAUUGUAGUCUGCAACUCGACUACAUGAAGCUGGAAUCGCUAGUAAUCGCGAAUCAGAAUGUCGCGGUGAAUACGUUCCCGGGUCUUGUACACACCGCCCGUCACACCAUGGGAGUCAGCAACGCCCGAAGCCGGUGACCCAACCGAAAGGAGGGAGCCGUCGAAGGUGGGGCCGAUAACUGGGGUGAAGUCGUAACAAGGUACC
rnacentral:rRNA from 1 species